AAAUUCGCUUUCUGACCAGCAGGUGGCUCUCGUUCAACAUCCUCAAACUAAUUCAGUCUGCACUCAGUCACAGUGAACGAGUUCCGCUGUCACAACAAAUAAACAAUGACCGAGUCGGGGCAAAAGUUCAAAAUAUUCAAGUUUUUAAAGAUUAUGAUUAGCAGCUUCCUCAUUACAAUAUUAUUGUUAUUUACUGUAGCAUCUAUCAGGACUUUCUCACUGGAUGUAAAUGCCGGUCUUCAACUCGCAAAUUGGGAAAAGACGAAGAACAUCUCGCUCGUCAUAGACCAUCAUCAGAGAGAGGAACUAAUAGCAAAUUUUAAAGAGGCUAUUCGGAUCCCCACUGUGUCUUUCUCCGGGACGGAGAGCAACAACACUGCGCUGCUUGAAUUCAACAGGCUCCUCCGUAAAGCUUUCCCAACAGUUUUCUCUUCAAAAUUGGUUCAUCAUCAGUUGGUGGCCAACUACAGCCACCUAUUUUGGGUACAAGGAUCACAGCCUGACUUGGCGCCAUACCUGCUGCUGGCCCACAUAGAUGUGGUACCUGCUUCAGAGUCGGAUGGCUGGGAGGCACCGCCAUUUUCUGCCAAGGAGAUAGAUGGCUUCAUAUAUGGUAGAGGGACCAUCGAUGACAAGGGCUCUGUAAUGGGAAUACUUCAGGCGCUGGAAUACUUGCUAAUAAAAGGCUAUGCUCCACGCAGAGGAUUUUACAUUGGUCUUGGUCAUGACGAAGAAGUCGGUGGUUACAAGGGGGCAGUGAACAUAGUGCCAAUGCUGAAGCAGCAUGGUGUGCAGCUGUCGUUUGUCCUAGACGAGGGCCUUGCUGUACUGGAUGAUGUCAUCAGUGGUCUUGAAGUACCUGCUGCUCUAAUUGGGAUAACGGAAAAGGGCUCGGCCACUGUAAAGCUGAGUGUGUCUAUGGCCCCUGGUCACUCCUCAAUGCCUCCCAGAGAGACCAGCAUUGGGAUCUUGGCUGCCGCAGUCAAAAGACUAGAGGAGAACCCCAUGCCAAGGUUAUUUGGUCAUGGGCCUGAGCGUGGAACCUUUGAACACCUGGCCCAUAAGUUCAGGCUUCCAAUGAAGUUCAUAAUGUCGAAUUUGUGGCUGUUCUCCCCACUCCUUGGCAGGGUACUGGAAAGAAAACCAGACACUAAUGCUUUUGUAAGGACAACCACAGCAGUUACCAUGUUUAAUGCAGGAGUUAAGGUGAAUGUCAUCCCUUCCCUAGCUGAAGCUUAUGUAAAUCUACGAAUCCACUCAGCGCAGUCAUUACAAGAGGUACUGGACCUCGUCCGUUCCACAGUGGGUGACCAGCGAGUGAAGAUCGAGCUUGUUGAUGGGUUUGACCCUCUGCCUGUCAGCUCAGCUGAUGAACAGUCCUUUGGCUUCCAGAUCAUUAAGAAAACUGUGUUGGACAUGUUUCCAACAGUUACAGUUGCUCCAGGUAUCUGUAUUGGGAACACAGACAGUCGACACUUCAAAGACCUGACCAGUGAUAUCUAUCGCUUUGCCCCUGUCUGGUUUAAACCAGGUGAUGCUAAGAGAUGCCAGUUUUGGUCACAACAGACUCUUCAUCUAAGUCUGGGUCUGACUGAGGGUCAAACAUGUGGCUGAGUCUCUCCGAGCAAGCAGCAGUGGUGGCUGAGGCACAAGGCUUGAUCCAGAAUUUCUCAAUGAGGAAAAUUUUCCAGUAAAGUCAUCCAGGUCCAGAGACCAGACAAAAGCUCCUCCAAAGUUGUUUGUUUUCAGGUAGCUGACCUGAGAGGAUGAAGAAAAAACACACCAGCUGAAAUCAUUUAACCAUCAUUCCAUCAACUGUCCAUCAACUAUCAUUCAUUUGCAAAGUUAUUAUGGAAUUAAACAGAUGAUUACCUUUGUUUCAAAGCUUUCUUUGUUAUCAAAUCCAACCCACUGAUUUUCUGUGAGGGCGUAUGGAACUUUCUGAUCAGUAAUCAGCUGGAUUAGAGCCCCUUCAAUAUAAAGACAAGUCUGAAAGGAACGGGGAAACAAUAUAUUUAGAUCUAAUGAAAUUUGUCACACUACGCAGUGAAAGCCGUUAGUAUACAUUAUUAAUUAAAAUAUAUGUACACAGCAUAAUAAUAUAAUAAUACCUCAUAAUAGGCCCAGAAUCCAUCUUCACCAGUGUAGCAACCUUCUUCACCAGUGCCGUUGGCUGGUGCUCCAACAUCAGUGGAUGGAGAAGACAGGGUAAAAGCUCGUCCAUACGUUGCCAGUCCCAAGUUUAGCAAUUGUGCUGGUGCUCCCUGGUCCCUCCAGUACUGCAUGCCAUCCUCCUAAAAUGUGAGGGAAAAACAAUUAGGAUGACAACUAUAAAUAGAUAUGGGGUCAGACAGUUUAAGUAUGAAUCCUGGUAUUUACAGUAUUAGAGUUGAUUUUGUCUCCAGUAUCUUGGGAUCCCCGGAACAAGGGGCUGUGAUGUCCUGUUACAUUUUCCCAGGGGCCGCGAAAGUCAAAUGUCAGCACAUUAAUGAAAUCCAGGUUCCUGAUAAAAUGCAGAGAAGAUCACGUUGACCAAAGAACUUCAACAGCUAAUCACAAAUAUAGUGUCAAGAAUGACUUUAAAAUAGUUUACCCGGCAAUCUGUGCGACUUCAUAACUGGCAUCGAUGACUGCCUUCUCAGCAGAGACACUAGCAGUGAGGAUUAAUCUGUCACGGUUAUUUUGGGUUCCUUCAGCCACAAAGGCAGCGUUGAGCUCCUGCACAAGAAGAAAGCACGGUUCAGUCUCAAUCAAGUUUAAAAUCUUAAAAUAUAUAUAUAUGUAAUGUAUAGAAUAUUUAUGAGAGUCCCAGAAGAAAGGAUCUGACCUGGCACAACAGUGUAAAUUUCUGCUUGUUGUCUGAUUGGCUUCCUGCUGCUGCGGGAAACCUCCAGUCCAGGUUGAGCCCAUCAAAACCAUAUGUUCUCAGUAGUGUGAUAGCAGACUGGAUGAACAUUGCUCUUGUUGUUUGUGUUGACACCAUCGUACUGAAUCUGGUAAAGAUUAGUACAAAACAGUGUUGUCAUCAUCUAUAGAAGUAUAAUUUGUAGUUACUGACAUCUUUAGUAGGCUACCAUCAAAUUUUUAACA